GGAGGUAGUGACAAUAAAUCACAAUGCGGGACUGUUAGUCUUGCAAUUGGAUUGAGAACAACGUACAACUCUUAUCGAUAAGCCAUUGGAGGGCAAGUCUGGUGCCAGCAGCCGCGGUAAUUCCAGCUCCAAUAGCGUAUAUUAACGUUGUUGCAGUUAAAAAGCUCGUAGUUGAAGUGAGGGAGUGUGUAGUAGGACCGACUUGAUCGGAACUGCUGCAACCUCCCCCCUCCAAUCGGUGUAGUGGGGUAUUCAGUUAUCCUACUACUCCUUUGGUCGUUUACUGUGAGAAAAUUAGAGUGUUCAAAGCGGGCGUUUGUUUGAAUAGAUUAGCAUGGAAUAAUGAUUGAAGGCUUUCGUGUUCGAUUUGAUUGGUUUGUUCAUGGAAGCAAGGUUAAAAGGAACAGUUGGGGGUAUUCAUAUUCACUAGUUAGAGGUGAAAUUCUCGGAUUUAUGGAAGAUGAACAAGUGCGAAAGCA
rnacentral:rRNA from 1 species